rnacentral:rRNA from 1 species
AUUGAACGCUGGCGGCAGGCCUAACACAUGCAAGUCGAACGGUAACAGGAAGAAGCUUGCUUCUUUGCUGACGAGUGGCGGACGGGUGAGUAAUGUCUGGGAAACUGCCUGAUGGAGGGGGAUAACUACUGGAAACGGUAGCUAAUACCGCAUAACGUCGCAAGACCAAAGAGGGGGACCUUCGGGCCUCUUGCCAUCGGAUGUGCCCAGAUGGGAUUAGCUAGUAGGUGGGGUAACGGCUCACCUAGGCGACGAUCCCUAGCUGGUCUGAGAGGAUGACCAGCCACACUGGAACUGAGACACGGUCCAGACUCCUACGGGAGGCAGCAGUGGGGAAUAUUGCACAAUGGGCGCAAGCCUGAUGCAGCCAUGCCGCGUGUAUGAAGAAGGCCUUCGGGUUGUAAAGUACUUUCAGCGGGGAGGAAGGGAGUAAAGUUAUUACCUUUGCUCAUUGACGUUACCCGCAGAAGAAGCACCGGCUAACUCCGUG